GGCAUAGCUCAGUGGUAGAGCACUUGCCCAGCAUGCAUGUGACCCUGGGUUCAAAUCCCAAUACC
rnacentral:tRNA from 1 species